rfam:Candida glabrata strain CBS138 chromosome L complete sequence.
AUCAUCAGUAGUGGUUAAUACUAUCUCAAGAUAAUAUUAAUUACAUAUACACCAUAGAAACCUAAGGUAAAAUUUACGCAAGUUUUCAAAGCUCGGUUUCUUUAUCUCAUUUGUCGAAGGAAGGGGAACUUGUUCUCUAUCUUUUGGUGUAUGGGAGGGAGGUUGGGUGGAGUUAAUACUGGAACUUGUGUUUAAUUUACCGACCCAAUAAUACAACCCAAUAGCUGAAUGAGCAUUGACUACCUCCAAACAAGGUAGGCACAAUACCCAUUUCGUUUCUGGUUUCUUAGAUCAAAUUGUCUAUGAAGGAGUUUCCUCCUCUUUCGCUUUACGAAGUUGAAACGGGGAAAAGGUAGCACGUUAUCCAGAGGUCCAUAUAAUGUGGACUGAGAGUUUGGAUCUCCGCUGUGUCUCUUCCUUCAUGGUCAUACAUAU